rnacentral:rRNA from 1 species
AUUGAACGCUGGCGGCAUGCUUUACACAUGCAAGUCGAACGGUAACAGGCCGCAAGGUGCUGACGAAUGGCGAACGGGUGAGUAAUGCAUCGGAGCGUGCCCAGUCGUGGGGGAUAACGCAGCGAAAGCUGUGCUAAUACCGCAUACGAUCUAUGGAUGAAAGCGGGGGACCGUAAGGCCUCGCGCGAUUGGAGCGGCCGAUGUCAGAUUAGGUAGUUGGUGGGGUAAAGGCCUACCAAGCCGACGAUCUGUAGCUGGUCUGAGAGGACGACCAGCCACACUGGGACUGAGACACGGCCCAGACUCCUACGGGAGGCAGCAGUGGGGAAUUUUGGACAAUGGGCGCAAGCCUGAUCCAGCAAUGCCGCGUGCAGGAAGAAGGCCUUCGGGUUGUAAACUGCUUUUGUACGGAACGAAACGGUCUGGGUUAAUACCCUGGGCUAAUGACGGUACCGUAAGAAUAAGCACCGGCUAACUACGUGCCAGCCGCCGCGGUAAUAC